rnacentral:rRNA from 1 species
GAUGAACGCUGGCGGCGUGCCUAAUACAUGCAAGUCGAGCGAACAGACGAGGAGCUUGCUCCUCUGAUGUUAGCGGCGGACGGGUGAGUAACACGUGAGAAACCUGCCUCUCAUUCUGGGAUAACACCGGGAAACCGGUGCUAAUACCGGAUACUCCGUCUUGGCGGCAUCGCCGAGCCGGGAAAAAAUUUUGAUGAAAGAUGGUCUCGCGGCCUAUCAGCUAGUUGGUGAGGUAAUGGCUCACCAAGGCGACGACGGGUAGCCGGCCUGAGAGGGCGACCGGCCACACUGGGACUGAGACACGGCCCAGACUCCUACGGGAGGCAGCAGUAGGGAAUAUUGGGCAAUGGGCGCAAGCCUGACCCAGCGACGCCGCGUGAGGGAUGAAGGUCUUCGGAUUGUAAACCUCUUUCAGUAGGGAAGAAGCGAAAGUGACGGUACCUAAAGAAGAAGCACCGGCUAACUAUGUGCCAGCCGCCGCAGUAA